UCCCUGGUGGCUCAGAUGGUAAAAGCAUCUUCCUGAAAUGCAGGAGAACCGGGUUCCAUCCCUGGGUAGGGAA
rnacentral:tRNA from 1 species